rnacentral:rRNA from 1 species
CCUACGGGAGGCAGCAGUGGGGAAUUUUCCGCAAUGGGCGAAAGCCUGACGGAGCAAUACCGCGUGAGGGACGAAGGCUUUUGGGUCGUAAACCUCUUUUCUCAAGGAAGAUAAUGACGGUACUUGAGGAAUAAGCAUCGGCUAACUCCGUGCCAGCAGCCGCGGUAAUACGGAGGAUGCAAGCGUUAUCCGGAAUGAUUGGGCGUAAAGCGUCCGCAGGCGGUUUUUAAAAGUCUGCUGUUAAAGCGUUAGGCUCAACCUAAUAAGGGCAGUGGAAACUAUAAGACUAGAGUACGUUAGGGGCAGAGGGAAUUCCCAGUGUAGCGGUGAAAUGCGUAGAGAUUGGGAAGAACACCGGUGGCGAAAGCGCUCUGCUAGGACUGUACUGACGCUGAGGGACGAAAGCUAGGGGAGCGAAUGGGAUUAGAUACCCCAGUAGUCCUAGCCGUAAACGAUGGAUACUAGGCGUUGCCCGUAUCGACCCGGGCAUGUCGUAGCUACGACGUAGUACUCCGCCGUCGGGUAGGUACGCGCGCAGUGUAGUAACGUAAAGUAAGUAGACGGCGUGAGACGNGCGAACGGACGACCGACGAGGGGUAGGUUAGG